CGCCUCACGUUCUCGUUUUCUUGCUGUGACAGAUGAGCGUGAGUUGGACCAAAAUAUGGCGCUAUCGUUUCCAGCCAAUCAGCGGCCUCGUCUGAACGGGUCUCAGCCACCGUCAGCGCAGUGGCGGGAACGCGCACCCACGAAGGAAAACGGAUUUGGGAAGGCCUCGGGCUCGCGCUUAUCGUGUUUGCCUGGCAAGUGACCGAGGAGUAAGAGGCUCGACAUUAUGGGGGUUGCUGAACCCCGGGACGGGAUGGACCCUGACCGACCAAGAGGGAAGAAAAGCUCCAGGAGGAGGCGGUUUAUACCGGGAUCGAGUCCGAUUUGUGUGUCAGUCCUUUAAAAGCGAGUAAAUGAGCUGCAGCGGAGACAGUGUUUGCUGGGACUGAACCGGAGGCACGGUCAAAGCUGCUUCACGAGCAAACAAACCCAAGGAGACUUCGAUUCACCAUCUGAACUGGAUCCAACUUUACAUUCGGAGAAAAAUGGAAGAAUCGCUAAUUACAAAUCGAUCCGGUCAGCCCAGCCCAGUUCGAGCAGAGUGGGCUUAUCCGGAGUAAAGCCAGUCAGUCAGUCAGUCGGCAGUGAUCUGUCGCCGGUCGGUGAUGUCCGCGUUCUGCGUGGACCUGCAGUCGUCUGCGGGGAUUUCAGCACCACUGGAGCUGGACAGCGACAGCAUGGAGCCGCGCUCCAGCGCCGCCGCUCCGGACUCGGGCGGUUUCCACGGUCACCCGCUGCGCCAGGCUGGCUCCGGAGGCCUCGGCAUGGCCUUGGAGGAGGAACUGGCCAUGAUCACCGGGGAGCGGGGAGACGAGCCGGAGCUGCCGGAGCUGGAGGCGACUGCAGUCGGUCACAACGCAGAUUUGCUGUUUCUCUUCCGCCAAAAAGAGAAAGACUUGGUGUUAGCCGCAAAACUUGGAAAAGCGCUGCUAGAAAGAAACCAGGACUUGACUAAGCAAUAUGAGAACAUGCACAAAGAUCUAAAUGAGAAACUAGAGCACUUGAAGCAAGAGAAGCAUGAACUACGACGGCGUUUGGAAAGUCGAGAGGGGGAGUGGGAAAGCCGAGUGUCCGAGCUGGAGACAGACGUCCAGCAGCUGCAAGUUGAGCUGGAGCGCCACCAGAUCCAGCUGAGAGAAGUGGACAGGGACAAGACCAAGGCCAUCAGCGAGCUCUCAGAGCAGAACCAGAGGCUCCUGGAGCAACUCAGCAGGGCUGCAGACGUGGAAAAGCAGCUGUCCACUCAGGUCCAUUCAUUACGGGAUGACUUCAGGGAGAAGAGUAUGUCUACAAGCCAGCACAUGACCCGACUGGAGGCUCUACAGGCUGAGCAAGGGCUAGAAAUUAAGAUGCUGUCAGAGAGGAAGAUGGAGCUGGAGCACCGGGUGCACGCCAUCGUGGAGGAGAACGAGCUGCUGCAGAACACGGUGGACAACCUCAGAGAGAGGACUCUGGUGCUGGAGAGACAGUGUCGUGAGAAGGACCUUCAGUUGCGGCAGAGCCAGCUUGAACUCCAGGAGGUCCAGGUGUCUCACAGGCAGUUGACAACAAGACUAGCAGAGCUGACAGAGGAGCACAGCCUCCAGAGUCUCACCCCCCACCCAUCCAGCUUGCUGUGUGAGAUAGAACAGAGCAUGGAGCAGGAGGAGCAGGAGCAGGAGAGGGAACAGCUGCGUCUUCAGCUGUGGGAGGCCUAUUGUGAGGUGCGCUCACUCUGCUCUCAUCUGCGGGGAAAUGACGUCACAGAUUCGGCGCUGUCCACUGAUUCCUCCAUGGAUGAGUCCUCUGAGACAUCCUCUGUUAAAGAUGUACCCACAGGCAGUCUUCACACCAGCCUGUUGGAACUACGGAGGCUAACGCAGAAUCUGCUGGAUGGCAACGAGUCUACGGGUUCACGGCGGAGUGAUGAAGAGGCUCUAGAGGAGCCAGUGAGGAAGCUCGGAGAAGAGCUGCAGGAGGUCAGGCAGCUCUACGAGGCUGAACAAGACAAAACGCACAGCAAUGAGGAGGAGCUGCUACAACUGCACAACCAGAUGGCGCUGCUGUCGGUGGAGAUGUGCUCGCUCCGGGAGGAGAACGAGCAACUGAGGGUGAUGGCUGAAGUCAGAGAACCCAGCGAGCAGCUCCAGAACGCCAUCAGAGAUCGAGAUGAUGCCAUAGCCAAGAAGAAAGCUGUGGAAAUGGAGCUGGCCAAAUGUAAAAUAGACAUUAUGUCUUUGAACAGCCAGCUGCUGGAUGCCAUCCAGCAGAAGCUUAACCUGUCUCAACAGUUGGAGGCUUGGCAGUUUGCCUCCUCAGGGCUCUUUACAGUUUGGCUCUUGUGGUUUCUGAUCUAGUGGCCUUUCUCAGCGUCAGCACCACCCUUUCUCCCCUGUGGUACCCCUCCCCUCCUGCCUUAGAGGAUGAUAUGCACAGAGUCAUUGACCAGCAGCUGAUGGACAAGCACCAGGACGAGUGGCGCUUGGCGCACACUUCCCAGACAAGCUCAUCAAGAAGUCAGGCGUCAAAGCGCUCUCACCGUAUUUCCGAACGUGACAAGAGACUUUUCUCUUUCUUCAAGAAGAGCUGAGCCCUGUUUGUCUAUCCUGCAAAGACAGGCAGAGGAAGUGGCAUCCCAUCACAGUGGUUCGAAUUCAGCCAAAGACAGGCAAGGGGUGCAGGAGGCGAGAGAUUAUUUGCACUUUAACCGUUCCAUCAGUAGUCUCCGAAUCGGUUAACCGUCUUUCAGUUCAGUGUGAGUAAAAAGAGCAAAAAUUCUCCAGAAUUCAUGAAGGAUUCUUGGUCUUACAGAACCGGAUCUGGUAACAAAGUUUACCUCCACAGAAGGCUUCCUUAUAGUGCCUACAACCAUCUCUACAAACCUACUGCCAGCUCUGUAGUGGAAGAAAACUCCACUUAGUCCUAUUAUGCAUACCAGUUAGAAGGAAGACAGACCGAUACACGGGAGACAGCAGGAUCCUGGGAUUGAGGUUCGCUGAAAGAUGAUGGGAAAUGAGGGGUGCUUUCCUAAGUAAACAGACCAACCCUCAGGUUCAUUCAUUUGUUUAGGAAAGCAUGAGUCUAUCAAAGUCGCAAUGUGAUAAAGAUCAUAAAUAGGUCAGUUAUGGAAAAAUGUAAUUUAUCUGAUCUUGCGUUUAAUGCCAUUUCAAAUUUAAAGUAAUUUACAAUGGUUUGUCCUAAUUUCUUCUUUUGUAAAUCAAUAUAUUCUUUGUUGAAGUUUGAUUAAUCGUGUUAGGGUAACUCGGUUAAUUCAUUCAUGUGGAAUAGGACAAAGCUAAAAUAAGAAAAUAAACCUUAAAUCCAAAAACUAAAGGAUUUUCAGACCCAAUCUCCAACAGCUGAAUAAACCUCUGAGGUGAGAAGGUUUUCUCAAGUUUGGGAACCAAAGGCAGACUCCACCAUCUUCCCUGUCAUUUUACUCAUCUUCCCAGCUGACCAAACUUUUAGAAAGGUUUGGGAAGGAGGCAAACCCACAAAGAACUCUCAUUCAAUCAAGAAUAACUGUUGUAGUUCAGGCGUUGCAGUUCCACUUUUGACUUCUUCAUGACCCUUCCUGUGUAUUGCUCAACAUCCACAGUUGAUGGUUCGCAUCUUCAAACGGUCUACCUCCAUCCCCAUCGCUUCAAUGCGCUCCACAUGGCACUUUGAUUUCCUAACUGUCGGGCUUCCAUUCCAAGCGACACAAGUGUUGCUGUGUUGCUUCAUUUGUCGAGAGAGCGUCUCCUCAGAUCCUUGAGCGUGAAGUGUUAGAACUUGUGUGUGUGUGGAAAACCUAUGCAGACGUGUUGGUGUCACCUCAGCAGGUUGUUGGGAAGGAUCAACCCAAAGAAUGAUUUUUAUAAAAAGUAAACUAGCUUUGGUUAAAAUUGAUAUAUUUAUAAGAAAAAAAGAAAAUAACUUUUAAAAAGAAAACCUUUUUGUAGUGACAAAUCUAUUCAUCCGAUGAUAAUUGUAGGCGUGGACAUCAUGAGUCCAGCCAGUCAGAAUGAAUUGCACUGGUAGGUUGGAAAUUCUCUCUUGUUUUAAUGUAUUUUUUUGUUUGUUUGUUUCAUAGACACACAUUAGGGUGGUGGGACAUAUUUCUGCGUGCUAUUUUAGUUUGUUCUCACCUUAAUUAUUCAUGAAAAUGCUGUAAAACCCCUAAAAGGAGUCACGAUUCCCUAUGUUCUGAUCCAUUAAAAUUCAAAUGGAUGUUCCACUCACAAAUAGAGUGUACUUUCAAAAAACGAGUCAGUUCACUGAUGGAAAAGUUGUUAAACUUUAGUUAAAGAUUACAAGUUUUUGAUUGAACAAGCAGUCGUAUGAAAAAUCUGAUUUGUUUAUAAAAGUAUCUUAAAAAAAUCCAAACUAUUCGAUGAAAUGGUGACGUUUACACAAAUUUUAAAAAAAAAACUUACGAUCGUUGUUUAUGUGUUCGAUCAGGAACAAAGAUAAACUAAACAGCCGUUUCCUAGGCUACCUUUUACUGGUGGAACAGCAUUUCUGUCCAUACCAGAACUUCAAACUUUCCAUGUUUUAAAUCUUCUUUUUGCUCCGUUUAUAUUUUGUCCAUUUUGUUUAGACUCUUAGACUGAACUUAGUUCCAUGUGACGGCUGUGUGUCCUGCAGUGACAGCAGAGUGUGUUUUCUGUCUCCCCUCAGUCGUGGUAUUUUGGAAUUUAGUGCUUUCGUUGCGCUCCUUGUUUACUGUGAGUGCUUCCAUUCACCUCGGCCACAGCCACACUGUUUUUUGUUGUUGUUGUUGUUGUCAUUUCAGACAAUUCAAAGUAUUUAUCAUGCAAUUUUCUUAGCAUUUUUUUGUACCAAUAAACCUUUGCAAUUUUA